ACCACGGUUUCUUCACAUUUCAUGUGUUUGGAACCUUGUGGAGAGCGGGGGGGGGCAACUCUAUCGCGUUGCCUGAUAUACCUAUGUUCUUGAUAAUAUUACCUGUAUACUUGACCAUACGUGUUUCUGAAUCAGUUGCUUAAUUUCCACUACAGCCAAAAUGUUUCAACAUUUUUUUGUACGCGUAUUUUGCAUUUUGCUUCUGAUUUUUCAUUUCGUAAAUUUAGCACCAUCUAAACCAUGCAAUGAUCCAAAUGAGGUAAGACGUUCAUGCGCUCCAAAUCCUGGUUGUAGAACUUGUGGAGUAAAGUUUUGUACUAAGGAAUGUUACAUUGAUGCAUGUAUUUGCAAAAGGGGCUUUCGUUACAAUGCUGCAGGAAUAUGUAUACCUAGAAAACAGUGCCCACGACGAGCGUAAUUUCAAGUAUUGAACUGAAUUGAAAAAAAUGCCCAACUAAUCACCGUAGGUAUUCGAAGUUCGAACAUCUUUAUUUAAAAUUUCGCCAGCCAUUACUUAUGCCAUAUAGCCUAUUAUACAGUGAGGUCGAUUGAUCUUAGACACAUUUUACGUAAGUAGGUAAUAAAUAAUUUUGUCCAAAUCACAAGGAGUUAUUUUAUGUGUUUUCAACGAAACAGAUGUUCGUAUUUAUCAUUACCUGCCUCAAAUGUAUAAGAUCAAUCACAAUCUCACUGUACAUCAUUUUCAGCAGUAUCACGGCAGGAAUCAUGUACAUCUAUGGGAAAUUGUCAAGAUACGAGUAGUUCCACAACUAUCAUAUUUUCAUCUUAUUGUGAAUCGGAAUGAAGACAAAUUCUGUACCAACAGCACGUAAAAAUUUUUUAAAUAAAAAGUUUGAAAAUUUGCUCGAACAAA